CAUGCUCAGAUUGAACGCUGGCGGCAGGCCUAACACAUGCAAGUCGAGCGGAUGAAGGGAGCUUGCUCCUGGAUUCAGCGGCGGACGGGUGAGUAAUGCCUAGGAAUCUGCCUGGUAGUGGGGGAUAACGUCCGGAAACGGGCGCUAAUACCGCAUACGUCCUGAGGGAGAAAGUGGGGGAUCUUCGGACCUCACGCUAUCAGAUGAGCCUAGGUCGGAUUAGCUAGUUGGUGGGGUAAAGGCCUACCAAGGCGACGAUCCGUAACUGGUCUGAGAGGAUGAUCAGUCACACUGGAACUGAGACACGGUCCAGACUCCUACGGGAGGCAGCAGUGGGGAAUAUUGGACAAUGGGCGAAAGCCUGAUCCAGCCAUGCCGCGUGUGUGAAGAAGGUCUUCGGAUUGUAAAGCACUUUAAGUUGGGAGGAAGGGCAGUAAGUUAAUACCUUGCUGUUUUGACGUUACCAACAGAAUAAGCACCGGCUAACUUCGUGCCAGCAGCCGCGGUAAUACGAAGGGUGCAAGCGUUAAUCGGAAUUACUGGGCGUAAAGCGCGCGUAGGUGGUUCAGCAAGUUGGAUGUGAAAUCCCCGGGCUCAACCUGGGAACUGCAUCCAAAACUACUGAGCUAGAGUACGGUAGAGGGUGGUGGAAUUUCCUGUGUAGCGGUGAAAUGCGUAGAUAUAGGAAGGAACACCAGUGGCGAAGGCGACCACCUGGACUGAUACUGACACUGAGGUGCGAAAGCGUGGGGAGCAAACAGGAUUAGAUACCCUGGUAGUCCACGCCGUAAACGAUGUCGACUAGCCGUUGGGAUCCUUGAGAUCUUAGUGGCGCAGCUAACGCGA
rnacentral:rRNA from 1 species